AACGAACGCUGGCGGCAUGCCUAACACAUGCAAGUCGAACGAGACCUUUGGGUCUAGUGGCGCACGGGUGCGUAACGCGUGGGAACCUGCCCUUAGGUUCGGAAUAACUCCCCGAAAGGGGUGCUAAUACCGGAUAAUGUCUUCGGACCAAAGAUUUAUCGCCUUUGGAUGGGCCCGCGUUGGAUUAGCUAGUUGGUAGGGUAAAAGCCUACCAAGGCGACGAUCCAUAGCUGGUCUGAGAGGAUGAUCAGCCACACUGGGACUGAGACACGGCCCAGACUCCUACGGGAGGCAGCAGUGGGGAAUAUUGGACAAUGGGCGAAAGCCUGAUCCAGCAAUGCCGCGUGAGUGAUGAAGGCCUUAGGGUUGUAAAGCUCUUUUACCCGGGAUGAUAAUGACAGUACCGGGAGAAUAAGCGCCGGCUAACUCCGUG
rnacentral:rRNA from 1 species